AGAUUGAACGCUGGCGGCAUGCUUUACACAUGCAAGUCGUGCGGCAGCGCGGGGGCAACCCUGGCGGCGAGCGGCGAACGGGUGAGGAAUACAUCGGAACGUACCCCGGAGUGGGGGAUAACCCAGCGAAAGUUGGACUAAUACCGCAUAUGCUCUGAGGAGGAAAGCAGGGGACUUCGCAAGAGGCCUUGCGCUCGUGGGAGCGGCCGAUGUCCGAUUAGCGUAGUUGGGUGGGGUAAUGGCUCACCGAAGGCGACGAGUCGGUAGCUGGUCUGGAGAGGAUGAUCAGCCACACGUGGACUGAGACGACCGCCAAGACUCCGUACGGGAGACGAGC
rnacentral:rRNA from 1 species